CGGCCGCGUCGACAUGCAAGUCGAGCGGUAGAGAGAAGCUUGCUUCUCUUGAGAGCGGCGGACGGGUGAGUAAUACCUAGGAAUCUGCCUGAUAGUGGGGGAUAACGUUCGGAAACGGACGCUAAUACCGCAUACGUCCUACGGGAGAAAGCAGGGGACCUUCGGGCCUUGCGCUAUCAGAUGAGCUCGCGUCCGAUUAGCUAGUUGGCGGAGUAAAAGCCCACCAAGGCGACGAUCGGUAGCUGGUCUGAGAGGACGAUCAGCCACACUGGGACUGAGACAC
rnacentral:rRNA from 1 species